GGGGGGGUUAUUCCUGUUUACUGCGUCAGUAAUAACCUCAAAUAACCUUUAUAGGCUCCCUGAGGUAAAGCAUACAUGACAACGCUGGAAUUUAGUUCGUUAAAUUUAGGUUAUGUUCAUGUAAAUGAUUCACACAUACAGAUUGGGGAUUUUUAUCUUCUAGUUAUUUUUAAGUUGGCAGAAAACAGGAUGAAACCCGGACUGAGCUUAAAGGCGUUACAGUGACACCUGCGCGCGCGCCUCACGACCUGAGGCGUGAAAAUUCGAGAAAAUGGAGGCGAGCACGUGAAAAAACUCACGUUCACAAUGUCAGCUAUGCGCCAUUUAUACAUCAUAACUGCUAUUCGGUCUUAAUAAUUAUAUAAAUAAAUAUCAUUAGCCUAAAAAAUGUUACGACAGUGUGUAUUCGUCACGUGCUGCUUUUCACUGCUUUCACAAACACUUCUUCGUCUUCCACCAUGACACGGCAGGAGAAAGCUGCUGGGUGAGAUAAUACGAAAUGGCGGAUGCGGAGGAGGAGCUGUUAGUGCGCAUGCGUGAGAAUGGUGCGCAUGCACGGUGCAACAGGAGGCAAGGACGGAGAAACGUGACACUGCGCAGGUGUUGGUGGCCAUUGAGGAGGAAAAAAAAGAAGACAUGGAUGAAACUCCACACAUGGAUCUGGACUGGCACUGAAUUAUGGCUUGCGCGUCUGUGCUAGUCCCAAUGUCUAUGCUGCUCCGUUUUAUAUUUUUUAAACAUCACCUUAAGGUCCUGUUCAGUUUUCUCAGGACUCUAAACGAAAAACAUCUAAUAGAUAGAUAAUUAUAGACCAGAGGACAGAAACACGAGCAAAUAAUGCUGUGCAUAUAAAACUAUGAGUCUGAAAAAUGUGUCUGAAAUCUUUUUGGAACUUAUGCAGAAUUAAUUUCUGGGAAUGCACCAUAAUGAAACCUUCUCUUAUCAACCUGUGUGCUUUGGAUACAAUAGUUUGAUGUAACUUUAUGUUGAUUUUUGUGGCAUAUUAUACUCACAGAAUUUAAUUCCUAGCUCUAGAGUUCAUAAGAGUGUCUGAGCUCUAAAUUUCAUGAAGGCAGCCCAGAAAUGGGAAACUGAGGAAUGCGAGUCAUUUGUGUAGAAGUUUAUACUUGUAAAUAAUGUUUUAUCAUUAGAGGAGAGCUAUAUUAAUGCUCAUUUUAUUCAUAAAUGAGAGGUUUCCUGUGCUUCUAUUGAUGUUUAUGUCAGAUGUGGCUGUUCUGACACAAAUACCAGUAAAGUAAGAAUAAAUAUUCAGAAUUGCAUACUACAGACACAGAGGUAAGCCAGCUUCCCCCUGCUUUGGUGUUUGGUCUUCUGAGAAAUCUCCCUGGUGUCUUAUACUAGCCAAGGCAUGCCAAGUAGAAGUGUCAUGAUUGACACCAAUCAGAUCACAUAUUUCAGUAGGGUGUGAAUAUUUUACAGUUUGGUCCAAAUGGUACUUUUUCUAUAAUUUUACCUUUUAGGGAAGAUAAUUAUGAACAUCAGUGUGUAAUGUACAUACCAUUGUUUGCUUUAUAUUAUCCUGUACUCCAAGUGUUCACAUUAGUCUCCAGUCCUUAAUAUGCUGUUCCUCAGAGUAAAUAGUUGUUCUUGAGUUAAUUUUACCUCUAGGGCCUUGACUGUUCCCAGCUGUCCCUCCUCCCAUCUACUCUAUUAGUCCCUUACCAUACAUGGACUUGGUUGAGGAAAGGAGCGAAGUGCAGAAGGCAGCUUCAGGAAGCAGCAAGCUGCCACUCAAACGGUUCUGUGCAUGAAAAAGAGGAGGAGGAGGAGGAGGAUCCAUGAAACGUCUCUGCUGUGGCCCAAUUACAGCUCCUUGUAGGCAGGAUUUUUUUUUAAAGCACGAAGCUAAAUAUGCCACAGAAAUGUGACACAGGAACUCUAAGUGCUCUGAAACCAAGAUUUCAUCAGUUAUUCUUUCCUGACCUGUAAAGACUUGAGCUUCCAUGGUAGCAUCCACAGUUGUGAGGGAGUUUCCUGGACUUUAUGGGUGUGGAUAUAAAAGUUUAACUAUAACACAUGCACAUGACUGACUCAUUUUCAAAGCAUUCAUCCCAUGUUUGAUAUACUUUUGGCCAGAACGCCUCAAUCUUAAUGCAACAACAAGAUUAAAUUAGAGUUGUCUAGAACAGCGUUUCCCCCCGAGCUGUUUCCUUCAUCAGCCACAGCCCCCUCUUCACUGUAGUACAGAACUUUGAAUAAUUCACAGCCAAUACAACACUGUACUACACUGUGUAUCAAACUGUCUCUAAAAAUACUGCAGUCUAUCAUUUAUUUAUUUUCAGUAUUUGCUUCAUUCUGGUCAGGGAUAUCCAGCAACACUGCGCGUGUGAUGGGACAACAGGUGGGAGAAAGUUGGAUUACCCACACAGACACAGGGAGAACAUAUGAAACUCAUCACAGAUGAUAAAUGAAGGAAAGCAGUGAACAUGAAAACAGGAAGCUCUCCUAGACUCAGACAUCGGAGAACUACUUUCACGGUGUGAUGGAGUCAUCGUGCACAAGGCUACAGUGGAUGUGGGAUGCCUGCAUGGGCUCUAGGGAGCCAGGGCUCCUGAGCAACAGACCUUCAUGAAUAAGCAUGUGACUCCACCCCCUCCCUCACUCUCAAUGGGGCUUUUCAUCGGGCACACAUUGUAUGGAAGCUGGCAGAGAUGAAUGCACGCCUUUUGAAACACGAGGCAACAAACACACACGCGCUCCUUUACACGCUCGAGCCAGAGACGUGUGGUGUGGCUUUGGGUGCAACCCUGCAUUCGCCUCAGUCCAUAAAUACACAAUCCACCUACUCGUGAAUCAGACUGGAAGACGUCUGCCACUGAACGGACUGGUGUUUGGCGCCACCUGG
ensembl:lncRNA